GCUGCAUCCAGUACAUCGAGGCCAUCGGGCUGAGCACGGAGGGGAUUUAUCGCGUCAGCGGCAACAAAUCGGAGAUGGAGAGCCUGCAGCGCCAGUUCGACCAGGACCACGGGCUGGACCUGGCCGAGAAGGAUUUCACCGUCAACGCCGUGGCCGGAGCCAUGAAAAGUUUCUUCUCGGAGCUCCCGGAGCCGCUGGUGCCGUACUCGAUGCAGCUGGAGCUGGUGGAGG